AAACGACUCUCGGCAACGGAUAUCUCGGCUCUCGCAUCGAUGAAGAACGUAGCGAAAUGCGAUACUUGGUGUGAAUUGCAGAAUCCCGUGAACCAUCGAGUCUUUGAACGCAAGUUGCGCCCGAAGCCCGACGGCCGAGGGCACGUCUGCCUGGGCGUCACGC
rnacentral:rRNA from 1 species